UUUCCGUAGGUGAACCUGCGGAAGGAUCAUUCGCGAUAAGUGUGUUAUGUCCCUUUUGAACCUGUCCAUAUCCCCCUUAUAUUCAACAUUAUUUGGCGCACUAUCUAUAUCUUUUGGAUUUCGCAGAGGGGGACCUCCUCAACUUACCAACAUCCCCUUUAAAUUAUUUGUCUAAACAUUUAUUAUCACGACUUAACUAAAUUAAAAAAUACAACUUGAAACCACGGAUCUCUUGGCUCUCACAACGGUGAAAAACGCAAACGAUCAGCAGAGCACCCC
rnacentral:misc_RNA from 1 species